UACGUAGGGGGGCAAGCGUUGUCCGGAAUCAUUGGGCGUAAAGCGCGUGUAGGCGGCCCGGUAAGUCCGCUGUGAAAGUCGGGGGCUCAACCCUCGAAUGCCGGUGGAUACUGUCGGGCUAGAGUGCGGGAGAGGCGAGUGGAAUUCCUGGUGUAGCGGUGAAAUGCGCAGAUAUCAGGAGGAACACCAAUUGCGAAAGGCAGCUCGCUGGAACGUAAACUGACGCUGAG
rnacentral:rRNA from 1 species